GGCGAGGUAGCUCAGCUGGUUAGAGCGUCGGAUUCAUAACUCGGAGGUCAUGGGAUCGUGCCCCAUUCUCGCUACUA
rnacentral:tRNA from 1 species